GCUCCUGCAGGCUCGCAAGCCAAUUCCCUUUUCUACUUCUCCACCAGGCUGUGCCACAGCCAAACAGAAGUGCUGUGCUAUUUGAUCUUUUCAGCCACUGGAAUUGACCCUCCUCACUGACCUUCAUCUGGCCCUUGGCUUGGGACAAGGAUGUGUAGAACAACAUCCUCUGCCAACCCUCAAGAAGAAGUGAGUCCAAUGCAUCCUCCACAGAUAUGAAAUCAAAACAGGGUACAGAGGUCAAUUUUGUGCACCAACUGGACGGAGCUAGAGGAGGUCCAGAUACCUGAUACAGUAUUGUUUCUGAAUGGGUCCAAGAGGGUAUUUCUGGAAGAGAAUAGUAUCUGAAUUAUCAGAUUGAAUCAAGGAGGUCCAUCGUCACCAAUGUGGGUGGGCAUCAUCCAAUCUGUUGAGGAUCUGAAUAAACAAAAAGUUGGAGGAAAAGCAA